CCCGCUGGCGUGAGGUCUCGAGUUGGGCAUAUCCCACCAAUGAAAGGACCUCCUCCAGGCGGGGUACA
rfam:Vulcanisaeta sp. CIS_19 scf1118685652399, whole genome shotgun sequence.